UACGGUGGGGGCAAGCGUUGUUCGGAAUUACUGGGCGUAAAGGGCUCGUAGGUGGCCAACUAAGUCAGACGUGAAAGCCCCGGGCUUACCCCGGGAAGUGCGUUGGAAACUGCGGAGCUAGAGUCCCGGAGAGGGAGGUGGAAUUCCAGGUGUAGCGGUGAAAUGCGUAGAUAUCUGGAGGAAUACCGGUGGCGAAGGCGGCAUCCUGGACCGAGAUUGACACUGAUGAGCGAAAGCUAGGGGAGCAAACGGG
rnacentral:rRNA from 1 species